rnacentral:rRNA from 1 species
AUUGAACGCUGGCGGCAUGCUUUACACAUGCAAGUCGAACGGCAGCGGGGAGGAGCUUGCUUCUCUGCCGGCGAGUGGCGAACGGGUGAGUAAUACAUCGGAACGUGUCGAGAAGAGGGGGAUAACCACCCGAAAGGGUGGCUAAUACCGCAUAAAUUCUGAGGAAGAAAGCUGGGGACCUAGGAAUAGGCCUAGCGCUUUUUGAGCGGCCGAUGUCGGAUUAGCUAGUUGGUGAGGUAAAGGCUCACCAAGGCGAAGAUCUGUAGCGGGUCUGAGAGGAUGAUCCGCCACACUGGGACUGAGACACGGCCCAGACUCCUACGGGAGGCAGCAGUGGGGAAUUUUGGACAAUGGGGGCAACCCUGAUCCAGCCAUGCCGCGUGUAUGAAGAAGGCCUUAGGGUUGUAAAGUACUUUUGUUAGGGAAGAAAAGUCAGCUGUGAAUAAUGGCUGAUACUGACGGUACCUAAAGAAUAAGCACCGGCUAACUACGU